rnacentral:rRNA from 1 species
UACGUAGGGUGCAAGCGUUAAUCGGAAUUACUGGGCGUAAAGCGUGCGCAGGCGGUUCGUUGUGUCUGAUGUGAAAGCCCCGGGCUCAACCUGGGAAUGGCAUUGGAAACUGGCGAGCUAGAGUGUGGCAGAGGGGGGUGGAAUUCCGCGUGUAGCAGUGAAAUGCGUAGAGAUGCGGAGGAACACCGAUGGCGAAGGCAGCCCCCUGGGCUGACACUGACGCUCAGGCACGAAAGCGUGGGGAGCAAACAGG